AAAUUGAAGAGUUUGAUCAUGGCUCAGAUUGAACGCUGGCGGCAGGCCUAACACAUGCAAGUCGAACGGACCCUUCGGGGUUAGUGGCGGACGGGUGAGUAACACGUGGGAACGUGCCUUUAGGUUCGGAAUAAGCCCGGGAAACUGGGUCUAAUACCGAAUGUGCCCUUCGGGGGAAAGAUUUAUCGCCUUUAGAGCGGCCCGCGUCUGAUUAGCUAGUUGGUAGUGUAAUGGACUACCAAGGCUACGAUCAGUAGCUGGUCUGAGAGGAUGAUCAGCCACAUUGGGACUGAGACACGGCCCAAACUCCUACGGG
rnacentral:ncRNA from 1 species